rnacentral:rRNA from 1 species
AUUGAACGCUGGCGGCAGGCCUAACACAUGCAAGUCGAACGAGUGGCGGACGGGUGAGUAAUGUCUGGGAAACUGCCAGAAGGAGGGGGAUAACUACUGGAAACGGUAGCUAAUACAGCAUACCAUCGGAUGAGCCCAGAUGGGAUUAGCUAGUAGGUGGGGUAAAGGCUCACCUAGGAGACGAUCCCUAGCUGGUCUGAGAGGAUGACCAGCCACACUGGAACUGAGACACUGUUCAGACUCCUACGUGAGGCAGCAGUGGGGAAUAUUGCACAAUGGGCGCAAGCCUGAUGCAGCCAUGCCGCGUGUAUGAAGAAGGCCUUCGGGGUUUAAAGUACUUGCAGCGAGGAGGCGUUACUCGCAGAAGAAGCACGGACUAACUCCGUGCCAGCAGCCGCGGUAAUUC